CACACUCCAUCUACUAAUGUAUUGUUUGCUUCCUAACUGGGGAACACCUGCAUUAGAACUCAUAUUUAUAAAUUAAAUUGCAAUUAAGAUGCAGAGAAGCUGGACACAUCAGAUCUAUGAAGGCAGCACAACUACAAAAGAAAUAAUAGCAGGUUAUUGGUACCUUCCUAACAAACCAAGAUAGGUUUGGGAAGUUCAGCUCAGUGGUCAAUGAUUCAUGUGGAAAAGAUGGAUGUAUUGAGGAAAUCAAAAAAAUCUAUAGAUAUCCUACUGAAAUACCUGCUGUGGUGUGUACUCCUUGUCUUAUCAGUGGAGUACCCCUUCUCCUCUCUGAAACCUCAGAGAAGCUGCAGUCUUCUGUUGCCA
rnacentral:lncRNA from 1 species